AUGGGAACGCGAAGAACCUUACCUAGACUUGACAUCUCCUGAAUAGUGUAGAGAUACAUGAAGCCCUUCGGGGCAGGAAGACAGGUGGUGCAUGGUUGUCGUCAGCUCGUGUCGUGAGAUGUUGGGUUAAGUCCCGCAACGAGCGCAACCCUUAUUACUAGUUGCUACCAUUAAGUUGAGCACUCUAGUGAGACUGCCCGGGUUAACCGGGAGGAAGGCGGGGAUGACGUCAAAUCAUCAUGCCCCUUAUGUCUAGGGCAACACACGUGCUACAAUGGUGAGUACAGAUAGAUGCGAUACCGCAAGGUGGAGCUAAACUCAAAACCCCAUCCCAGUUCGGAUUGUAGGCUGAAACUCGCCUACAUGAAGUUGGAGUUGCUAGUAAUCGCGAAUCAGAAUGCUACGGUGAAUACGUUCCCGGGUCUUGUACACACCG
rnacentral:rRNA from 1 species